UGGCAAAAGUUAGGCAAUUGCUACAUAAUAAGCUAAUAUUAUGUAGAGGAAAGUCCGAACUCCGCAGGACAAAAAGCCAGGUAACUCCUGGGGUUGAUUGAUGCGAAUCAGUUGGUACGGAAAGUGCCACAGAAAAAAUACCGUCCCAAUUUGAUUGGGAUAAGGGUGAAAAGGCAGGGUAAGAGCCUACCGCUUUGGUAGUAAUAUCAAAGGUUCUUUGAAAGAAAUAUUCUUAUAGAAUAUCAAGGCAAACCCCUUUCGGAGCAAGAUCAAGUAGAAGGUUUUCCUUUUAGGAACAAGGUUGUCCACCUUGCAAUACCUUCGGGUAGAUCGCUAGAACUUUGAAGCGAUUCAAAGUCAAGACAAAUAAUUGCCGUUCCGAUUAGUCGGAAAAACAGAAUUCGGCUUAUUAACUUUGCCAUUAU
rnacentral:RNase_P_RNA from 1 species